rnacentral:lncRNA from 1 species
UGGGGAUUUAGGUUGAUUCCAUGUCUUUGUUAUUGUGAAUAGUGCUGCAAUGAACAUACAUGCGCAUGUAUCUUUAUAAUAUAUUGAUUUAUAUUCCUUUAGGUAUAUACCCAGCAAUGGGAUUGCUGGGUCAAAAGGUAUUUCUGCCACUAAGUCUUUGAGGAAUCACCACACUGUCUUCCAUAAUGGUGAUCUGGGCUCACCACAGCCUUGAUCUCCCCAGACUCAGGUGAUCCUCCCACCUCAUCCUCCUGAGCAGGUGGGACUAUAGGUGCAAACCACCACACCCAGUUAAUUUUUGUAUUUUUAGUAGAGAUAGAGUUUUGCCAUGUUAUGCAGGCUGGUCUUGAACUCCUGGGCUCAAGAGAUCUGCCCACCUCGGCCUCUCCAGGAGCUAGGAUUACAGGCACGAGCCACUGUGCCUGGCUUAUUUUUUUUUUUUUAAUAGUAGCCAUCCUAACGGGUGUGCGGUGAUGUGUCACUG